UUGACGCUGUUUGACGGUGAUCGACUACCUAUUUGAACUGUCCAGAUUUUCAUAGAUUCGUCGAGCUCAUUGACGUUUUGAAUUCUAAAUUCGAAGCAUUGCAUGUUCUAACACGAUGGGCAUUAGUGAGAGAAGUCUGAGAGCAUCCCUGACUUAACAACGUAAAACUCCAAUUUUAUAGAGAUCAAACAAUUCGGCAAAAGCAUGGAGGAAAUUCCACAACUGAUCAAUGAGCCAGGGCAACCCAUUUCAAAAGAUCUAGUGAAAAAACUCCUUGGGAGUUACGCAGGAGGCAGUGUGUGGGCGAGACAUACGUCGUAUUUUCAAUCCUUUGUUUAGACACAUUAUAUUCUGCUGAAUCUACCAUUUUGCACGUGUAUAAUCACACCAUUUACCAUUAGAGAUAAGACAAUGUCAUGAAUAUCAGAUGUAUUGAGUCAGUCUUUCAUUCAUUACUUAUUUCAAACUAUUAAUUCCUUAUAUAAAUGAAUUCAUUUCUUAA